ensembl:snRNA U6 U6 spliceosomal RNA
CAGGGGCCAAUCCUAAAAAAAAACAAUUGGAAAGAUACAGAGAAGAUUAGCACAGCCCCUGCGCAACGAUGACACACAAAUUCGUGAAGCGUUCCGUAUUUUU